rnacentral:rRNA from 1 species
AGAGUUUGAUCAUGGCUCAGAUUGAACGCUGGCAGCAUGCUUUACACAUGCAAGUCGAACGGUAGGGUAGCAAUACCUGAGAGUGGCGAACGGGUGAGUAAUGCAUCGGAACAUGCCUAUUUGUGGGGGAUAGCCCGGCGAAAGCCGGAUUAAUACCGCAUACGAUCUACGGAUGAAAGCUGGGGACCGCAAGGCCUAGCGCAAAUAGAGUGGCCGAUGUCAGAUUAGCUAGUUGGUGGGGUAAAGGCCCACCAAGGCAACGAUCUGUAGCUGGUUUGAGAGAACGACCAGCCACACUGGGACUGAGACACGGCCCAGACUCCUACGGGAGGCAGCAGUGGGGAAUUUUGGACAAUGGGCGCAAGCCUGAUCCAGCAAUGCCGCGUGCAGGAUGAAGGCCUUCGGGUUGUAAACUGCUUUUGCACGGAACGAAACGGCUCUGGUUAAUACCCGGGGCUAAUGACGGUACCGUAAGAAUA